rnacentral:rRNA from 1 species
GCUCAGUAACACGUGGAGAACGUGCCCUUAGGCGGAGGAUAAUCUCGGGAAAUUGAGGAUAAUACUCCAUAGGUCACGGGGUCUGGAACGACCCGUGGCCGAAAGCCCCGGCGCCUAAGGAUCGCUCUGCGGCUUAUCAGGUCGUAGUGGGUGUAACGUACCCCCUAGCCGACGACGAGUAUGGGCCUUGAGAGAGGGAGCCCAAGUUGGAUUCUGAGACACGAAUCCGGCCCUACGGGGCGCAGCAGUCGCGAAAACUUCACACUGGGGGCAACCCCGAUGAGGGAAUUCCUAGUGCCAGGGCCUCUGGUCCUGGCUUUUCUCCGGCGUAACACCGGAGGAAUAAGGGCUGGGUAAACGGGUGCCACCGCCGCGGUAAUACCUGCAGCCCGAGUGGUGGUCGAUUUUAUUGAGUCUAAACGUUCGUACCGGCCCGGUAAAUCCCUGGGGUAAAUCGGGAAGCUCACUUCCCGAAUCCGGGGAGACUGCCGGGUUGGGACCGGGGAAGCCAAAGGUACUUCGGGGUAGGGUAAAUCCUGGUAAUCCUGGAAGGACACCGGUGGGCAAGCGUCUACUAAAAGGAUUCGACGUGAGGAGAACCUGGUCCCAACGGGAUUAGAUACCCGGUAGUCCAGGUUUAACCGUGCAACUGGGUUGGGGCCCUUCGGGGGCGUCCAAGUCCCGAGGAAAGCUGUAAGUCUGCUACUUGGGAGUACGUCCGCAAGGGAUGAAACUUAAAGGAAUUGGGGGGGAGCACCGCAACGGGGAGGAGCGGCGGUUUAAUUGGAUUCAACACGGAAACUCACCAAGGGCGACUGUAACAUGAAAGCCAGGCCGAUGACCUUGCUAGAUUUUCAGAGAGGUGGUGCAUGGCCGUCGUCAGUUCGUACCGUAAGGCGUUCUCUUAAGUGAGAUAACGAACGAGACCCUCACCAAUAGUUGCUACUCCGUCCUCCGGGGCGGAGGCACACUAUUGGGACCGCUGGCGCUAAGUCAGAGGAAGGAGGGGUCAACGGUAGGUCAGUAUGCCCCGAAUCUGCUGGGCUACACGCGCGCUACAAAGGGCGGGACAAUGGGCUCCGACACCGAAAGGUGAAGGUAAUCCCGAAACCCGUCCGUAGUUCGGAUUGAGGGUUGUAACUCACCCUCAUGAAGCUGGAUUCCGUAGUAAUCGCGAAUCAACAACUCGCGGUGAAUAUGCCCCUGCUCCUUGCACACACCG